CUGAGACAGUUUAUUAAGUCCUUACCAUUGCUUACCAAUGUUUAAGACUUUGAUUCCCUUGCUAUAUGUGAACCUAGAACUUCUGUAAAUCUGUUCCCUGAAUCUACUAACACUUAUAUGUUGUGUUCAUUAUUUACUCACUGUUCUUCUUCUUCUUUUUUUUUUCUUGUAAAAAUUAAUGUGGAAAUACAAUCGACUUUGGGAGAGAGCCAGGUCAGAAAUAGGCACUGUUACCAAGGGUGUGCGCAGAUCAGACGGCAGGCAGGAGUGUGCAUAUAAUAGACACAAGGAAGGAGUGUGUGCAGAUCAGACACUAGGAAAAAGUGUGCUCAGAUCAGAUGCAAAGUAGAGGGUACUGUGCACUUAAUGUCCUGAAGACUGACCAGUGACCUGCUGCUGUUAGAAGAUGUACUUACAACAUAUGGAACUUGUCCUACUCUGUAUGCGCCAAAUUAUGUUCUCACGUACAUGGAUGCAACUGAAACACUUAUCUUCAUAUCAGCUGCAACCCGGAAGAAAUAAAGCACCAGGAUUUAUUACUUUCGUGCAAAAGUACUUCAGAGCUGUGGAGAGCACCUCUAAACAACAUAUAAAGCACAUUGAUUCAAUGCUCUAUGGAGAUGUAACUGUGCACUUACAUUACUGUCACUGUAAAGACACCAUACAGAUAGCUAAACAUAUGCAACUGACUGUCAUAAAAAAUAAAACUUCAGCAUUGUACACUACAGUCAUCUGCUGGCCAAACGGAGAGAACAAGUCACUGCACUAAAUAAUUAUUUCCUAUAAGUGGAAAUUUGCUAUCAGACCGAUCAUCAGUCACACAGGUGUCUCUUGCAGCUAAACCACUGAAUACAUAAUCUUUCUUCCCCAAGAAUGGAGCAUAUACUCCCCACCUUAACAGGCAACUGAGCAAGGACACAUUGUCAUGACACCCCUGCCUGACUAAUCAUCCCCCGGCUAAUGGACAACCAGCGUAGCAGCACCUGAUAAAUAAGUUGUGAUUAUAUCUAAACUGAUAUGUCUAGAUAUUAACCCUUGUCUGCAUAUUUAUAAAGUGUAUCUAGAUAUCUUAUUGCAUUUAUUCACUAACUGAAUGUUAUAUUAUUGUUUGUAUCACUCUCACUACACAGUUGGGUUAUACAUUUAUUUGGUCAGUGUUGUCACAAGAACUAUCUUAAGCCAUGGACAUUAUAAUAGUAAUAAUUUGUGGAAUUCUCUGUAUCCUGGAGGGAUGUGUACCCAAUCAGCUGUUAAAGGACCAGUAAAUAUAGUAGAUUUACAUAAUCAAAAAAAUGCAUGAUACAAAUCCAAUGCAAUAGCAAUUAGUAUGAACUUCAAAUGAGUAAUAGAUUUCAAAGUUAUGUCUAUUUCUACUCCUCUUCCAUCAUGUGAUAGCUAUCAGCAAGUCACACAUGCAUAUACUUCUUGCACAUGCUCAGUAGGAGCUGGUGACUCAAAAAGCGUAAAUAUAAAAAGUAACUGCACAUUUUGUUAAUGGAAGUAAAUUGGAAAGUUGUUUAAAAUUGCAUGCUCUAUUUGAAUCAUAAAAGUUUAAUUUUGACUUGAGUGUCUCUUUAUUUAUUGCCUGACUAAUGACCCUACUAACAGACUCUCUGGCACCUGACAAGUAAGUUGCAUCCUUAUCUGAAAAUUCCACUCUGUCAUAGAAAGAUAUUUUCGGGGUUGUUUUUGUUUAAUUGUUAUUGGUUCUUUUACAAAUCUUUGGUAUGCAUAUGAACUGGGACGAUGAGAUGGAGUCUAUAAAUGUGUGUGGUGUUCAAUAAAGGAUGUAUACUGAUUUCACA